CCUUGGACAGACAGGUUGUUCUAGGCAAGUGUAAUGGUGAGUUCAGUGAGCCACUCUUCCCCAUGUUUAGUGCUGGGCCGCCGGUAUUCCUUGACCACACUCUGUCCAUGAGUCUGAUCAGCGGGGAGGACAUCGACAUGACUGACACAAAGAAGACUCUCUCAUCUACCAAGCGCUGGAAUAGAAAAAUUAACUGGCCAUGAAACUGUGAAAUCGGCCAUGAGACUGUGUGAAGUCAGCCAUGAGGUUGUGUGAAGUUAUCUGUGUAACGGAGAUAUUUCUAUCAACUGUUUCAAGGAAAGUGAGAGAGCGGAAGA